rnacentral:rRNA from 1 species
GAGUUUGAUCCUGGCUCAGAUUGAACGCUGGCGGCAUGCUUUACACAUGCAAGUCGGACGGCAGCACAAAGAAGCUUGCUUCUUGGGUGGCGAGUGGCGAACGGGUGAGUAACGCAUCGGAACGUACCGAGUAGUGGGGGAUAACUGUCCGAAAGGAUGGCUAAUACCGCAUACGCUUUGAGAAGGAAAGCGGGGGAUCUUCGGACCUCGCGCUAUUCGAGCGGCCGAUGUCUGAUUAGCUGGUUGGUGGGGUAAAGGCCUACCAAGGCGACGAUCAGUAGCGGGUCUGAGAGGAUGAUCCGCCACACUGGGACUGAGACACGGCCCAGACUCCUACGGGAGGCAGCAGUGGGGAAUUUUGGACAAUGGGCGCAAGCCUGAUCCAGCCCUGCCGCGUGUCUGAAGAAGGCCUUCGGGUUGUAAAGGACUUUUGUCAGGGAAGAAAAGCUUGAGGCUAAUACCCUUGA